CUAGCUGUAGUAAUACAACAUGUUGUAGAGAACAGCCUGGAGAUUGUUUUACACCUUACAAUCAAACUCGUCUAUCACAACUACAACAAGCCUGUAAUGGUAGAUUAACUUGUACUCUUAAUAGAAAUAAUGGUUUGAAUGAAAUAUCUCCAGAUUGUUUUAAUGGUAGUCCUAUAUAUCAUUCUUACAGCAAGAUAGAAUAUCAGUGUGUUACAAACACAAGUGUAUCAACCAAUCCUACAUCAUCAGCAGCUGAUUCUACUAGUUCAUCAACAGUAAGAAAUGUUCAAGAUACAACUACCAGUACCAGUAUACAGAUUCAAGAUACAACUACUAGUACCAGUAUACAGAUUCAAGAAUCAACACCAGAUGAUAAAGCAACAAGUAUUAGCUGUAGAGGUUUGGAGUCAGAUAAAGAAACAGUUGUUAUAGUUGGUGGAGUUUUAGGUACAGCUUUAAUAAUCAGCCUUGCAAUCAACAUCCUCUUGGUGAUAUACUUUAACAGAAGACUGAAGACACUGAAGCCUGAAUUAGACGUCGGGGAAAGUGAACACCAACAUUACUCCACGCAAAGUAGAGGAGGAGAUGUUACUGCUGUUGUCUACGAUUCGUUAAACGCUAAUGAAGGUCAACAAUCAAGUACUACAGCCAAUGUACAGAUACAACGUACUAACGGCAGUCCACAAUUGACGCCUGGCAAUGGCGAGUCUCAAACUGAACAGAACAACCGAGAUUAUGAACACCCAUAUGAUUCAACUACCGGACGUGGACCAGUUGCUGUUUAUGAUUUAUUAAAUACAAGAGACCAGACUGGUUAUUAUAAUAUGGGUAAUAUCAACACAACUGGUACAUAAAAUGACAUCUAAAACACAUAUUUUAUUAGUGGUAUACUUAAACAUGUAAAUUAUAUAUCUAAUACACGCUCCCUUAAACUGGAAAUAACAAUAAACUAAAGGCAGUUUUAUUUUUAAAAACAACUGUAGUCGAUAUAACUUAGGGUAUUAGCGACAACUAAAGUAUCUAUACUUUCAUGGUUAAAAGCAUGUUGUAUCAUCACACAUCUAUUUUGCCAUCCAUAACCACACAUAUUAACCUAGUGAAAUCCAUAUAAUUUUAUACUUUUGUAUUUAUUAACUCUGACUUUGAAUUGACCUUUUAUUUGAAUCAUAUUACACAGGUUGUAAUGUAACAAGUGUAUAUAUCUUUGAUGUCGUCGGGUUUUCCAUUUUUGUCCAUGUGGUAAACAAAAUACCCUCAUUAUGUUUGGAUUUCAUACCGCUGUACAUGUACAGUCAAUAGCAUAACGCAAAAAUUGGUUUUAAUUUACUGUCAGUGUAAUAUACAUGUUUACGUGCAAACAUUAGUUUAACGCUUCGACAUGGUGGAUUUCAACUGUUGUAGGUAUAUUGCUGUUGUGGAACUUAUUAGGAUAUGGUAAAAUAACAUUUCGUAACUAGCAGGCGAUGGAAGGUGUGUAUAUACCUGAAAAUCUAGUUCACGCCUUUUCGACUUGUAAUAAGUUUGUUGCUGGAAUUGAUGAAUUGUCAAUAUAUUGAUAGCCUAAUCCAGCCCCAUGUGGGUAAUUAAGACUACGUGGUCCCUAAUUGUUCUGAAUGUUGUUAAAUGUAACAUACAAAUACAAUGUUAGGAUUGACUAUACUCGGCAAACCUCAGUAGACUCAAGUACCUUACAUCUAGCCUCGGUUGUAUGACAAAUUUUGCCAUUGGAACUACUUUCAAGUUCCCGGAUUACCAAGAGUGUUUGGUCAUACAAAUCUGUCAAUGUCUGAAGUUUUUUUUCUUUCAGUUUAUCCGAUUUUCUUCAAAUAAAGAAAUACUUUGCAAUGAAAACUCCACGCUCUUUGAACAUACAAUGACGUGGUAAAUA